rnacentral:rRNA from 1 species
GACGAACGCUGGCGGCGUGCUUAACACAUGCAAGUCGAACGGGCCUGUCUUCUUUUUUGGGGGUGGGUUGAGUGGCGAACGGGUGAGUAUCACGUGAGUAACCUGCCCUUCGGUCCUGGAUAACCGCUUGAAAGGGCGGCUAAUACGGGGUGGUCCGGUUGGUCCGCAUGGGCUGGUCGGGAUAGAUUCACUGUUUUUGGUGUUUCGGCGGGGGAUGGGCUCGCGGCCUAUCAGCUUGUUGGUGGGGUGAUGGCCUACCAAGGCGGUGACGGGUAGCCGGGCGGAGGGGGUGGGCGGCCACACUGGGGCUGCGGUACGGCCCAGACUGCUGCGGGGGGCAGCAGUGGGGGGGAUUGCACAAGGGGCGGAAGCCUGAUGCAGCGACGUCGCGUGAGGGAUGGAGGCCUUCGGGUUGUGAACCUCUGUUUCCGGUGGUGAAGGCCCUGUCCGUGUGGUGGGGUUGACGGUAGCCGGGGAUGAAGCGCCGGCUAACUACGUG